GCCCCCAUAGCCCAACGGUAGAGGCAACGCGCUCAGAACGCGUCCAGUCCAGGUUCGAAUCCCGGUGGGGGCA
rfam:Saccharothrix espanaensis DSM 44229 complete genome